rnacentral:rRNA from 1 species
AGAGUUUGAUCCUGGCUCAGGAUGAACGCUGGCGGCGUGCUUAACACAUGCAAGUCGAACGAACCUUCGGGUUAGUGGCGGACGGGUGAGUAACGCGUGAGAAUCUGCCCUCAGGAGGGGGAUAACGGCUGGAAACGGCCGCUAAUACCCCAUAUGCCGAGAGGUGAAAUGAAUUUCGCCUGAGGAUGAGCUCGCGUCUGAUUAGCUAGUUGGUGGGGUAAGAGCCUACCAAGGCUACGAUCAGUAGCUGGUCUGAGAGGAUGAUCAGCCACACUGGGACUGAGACACGGCCCAGACUCCUACGGGAGGCAGCAGUGGGGAAUUUUCCGCAAUGGGCGAAAGCCUGACGGAGCAACGCCGCGUGAGGGAUGAAGGCCUCUGGGCUGUAAACCUCUUUUCUCAAGGAAGAAGAUCUGACGGUACUUGAGGAAUAAGCCACGGCUAAUUCCGUGCCAGCAGCCGCGGUAAUACGGGAGUGGCAGCGUUAUCCGGAAUUAUUGGGCGUAAAGCGUCCGCAGGCGGCCUUGAAAGUCUGCUGUUAAAGCGUGGAGCUUAACUCCAUUUCAGCAGUGGAAACUACAAGGCUAGAGUGUGGUAGGGGCAGAGGGAAUUCCCGGUGUAGCGGUGAAAUGCGUAGAUAUCGGGAAGAACACCAGUGGCGAAGGCGCUCUGCUGGGCCAUAACUGACGCUCAUGGACGAAAGCCAGGGGAGCGAAAGGGAUUAGAUACCCCUGUAGUCCUGGCCGUAAACGAUGAACACUAGGUGUCGGGGGAAUCGACCCCUCCGGUGUCGUAGCCAACGCGUUAAGUGUUCCGCCUGAGUACGCACGCAAGUGUGAAACUCAAAGGAAUUGACGGGGGCCCGCACAAGCGGUGGAGUAUGUGGUUUAAUUCGGUGCAACGCGAAGAACCUUACCAGGGUUUGACAUCCUGCGAAUCCCUUGGAAACGAGGGAGUGCCUUCGGGAGCGCAGUGACAGGUGGUGCAUGGCUGUCGUCAGCUCGUGUCGUGAGAUGUUGGGUUAAGUCCCGCAACGAGCGCAACCCACGUCUUUAGUUGCCAGCAUUGAGUUGGGCACUCUAGAGAGACCGCCGGUGAUAAACCGGAGGAAGGUGUGGAUGACGUCAAGUCAUCAUGCCCCUUACAUCCUGGGCUACACACGUACUACAAUGCUACGGACAAAGGGCAGCAAACUCGCGAGAGCUAGCAAAUCCCAUAAACCGUGGCUCAGUUCAGAUCGUAGGCUGCAACUCGCCUACGUGAAGGAGGAAUCGCUAGUAAUCGCAGGUCAGCAUACUGCGGUGAAUACGUUCCCGGGCCUUGUACACACCGCCCGUCACACCAUGGAAGUUGGCCACGCCCGAAGUCGUUACUCCAACCCGUAAGGGUGGAGGAUGCCGAAGGUGGGGCUGAUGACUGGGGUGAAGUCGUAACAAGGUA